UCGGGAAUAUUGCGCAAUGGAGGAAACUCUGACGCAGUGACGCCGCGUGCAGGAAGAAGGUUUUCGGAUUGUAAACUGCUUUAGACAGGGAAGAAUAAAGACAGUACCUGUAGAAUAAGCUCCGGCUAACUACGUGCCAGCAGCCGCGGUAAUACGUAGGGAGCAAGCGUUAUCCGGAUUUAUUGGGUUUAAAGGGAGCGUAGGCCGGAUGUCAAGCGUGUUGUGAAAUGCCGGGGCUCAACCUUGGCACUGCAGCGCGAACUGGCGUCCUUGAGUGCGCACGCCGCGGGUGGAAUUCGUUGUGUAGCGGUGAAAUGCUUAGAUAUGACGAAGAACUCCGAUUGCGAAGGCAGCUCGCGAGAGCGCAACUGACGCUGAUGCUCGAAAGCGCGGGUAUCGAACAGGAUUAGAUACCCUGGUAGU
rnacentral:rRNA from 1 species